UCCCUCUCCAGUCCUCCAGCCUGGGAAAGGGCUCCGGACCCUGGAAGCGGACCGGGAUGACGCGGUAGCCCAUUGGCUGCGAGGCGCCAUGUGAACGGUGCUGGUUGGUUGGCGGGAGGGAGGAGGAGGCGGUUUCCCGGGUAACGGGAGGGCAAGGAGCGGCGGCGGCGGCGGCUGAGGAGCGCGGGCCGGAGCGCCGUGCGAGACCGGCUGGAGGCGGCGGCCCGGCGAAGCCGCGUGCGCGCAGGUAUGGGUCUUACCCCGUGAAGGAAGACGACAGCCUGGGAGGGGAGCAGGCUCUGCGAUGAACAGUUGCGAGAACUGUGAGGGGCGGCCUCGCGAGCAGCGUUUACGGAGACAGCGAGGGGAAGGAUUUCUGGGGCAGUAAUGUGGCAUGUGCCCCAGGAUAUGGACUCGUCUUUGCCCAGAUCUGUCCUCUGGGCUCUCAGGAAGCCAGCCUUGGAACUGAAGUAAAGCCCCGAGUCCCGCUCUCAGGAUGCCGGCAGCAGCUGCCCUCACGGCCAAGGCAGCGAUGGAGAGUGGAAUUCCCGAGCGGAUUUUAAGAAGUCAGGAAGACCUCUGAAGAGGUAGCGUGCAUUUCCUCAGUGGGCGGGAGCUGUGUUCGGCGGCGUGCAUGCAUCCCUUUGGCCUGGGUUAUUUUCUUCCUCUGUGGAUUUGGAAGCAUCACUGAAGGAGAGA
rnacentral:lncRNA from 1 species